CGAGUCCGAGUCUCCACGGAGACGAAGUGGCGGUCAUCCAGCUUCCUAGAAAAGCUCUAACCACGUUAAUCUUUAGUUGCCUGUACCCGAAACCGACACAGGUAGGGGGGUAGAGAAUACCAAGGGGCGCGAGAUAACUCUCUCUAAGGAACUCGGCAAAAUGACCCCGUAACUUCGGGAGAAGGGGUACCACUGAGAAGUGGUCGCAGUGAAGAGGCCCAGGCGACUGUUUACCAAAAACACAGGUCUCCGCCAAGUCGCAAGACGAAGUAUGGGGGCUGACGCCUGCCCAGUGCCGGAAGGUUAAGGAAGUGGGUUAGGGAUUCGUCCCGAAGCUGACGACUGAAGCCCCGGUGAACGGCGGCCGUAACUAUAACGGUCCUAAGGUAGCGAAAUUCCUUGUCGGGUAAGUUCCGACCCGCACGAAAGGCGUAACGAUCUGGGCGCUGUCUCGGAGAGAGGCUCGGCGAAAUAGGGUUGUCUGUGAAGAUACGGACUACCUGCACCUGGACAGAAAGACCCUAUGAAGCUUUACUGUAGCUUGGAAUUGGGUUCGGGCUUGGUUUGCGCAGGAUAGGUGGGAGGCGAAGAAGAUUUGCUUGUGGGUGAAUCUGAGCCAACGGUGAGAUACCACUCUAACCAGGCUAGAAUUCUAACUUCAACCCGUCAACCGGGGGAAGGACAGUUUCAGGUGGGCAGUUUGACUGGGGCGGUCGCCUCCUAAAAGAUAACGGAGGCGCACAAAGGUUCCCUCAGGCUGGUUGGAAAUCAGCCAACGAGUGCAAAGGCAGAAGGGAGCUUGACUGCGAGACCUACAAGUCAAGCAGGGUGGAAACACGGUCUUAGUGAUCCGACGGCACCGAGUGGAAGGGCCGUCGCUCAACGGAUAAAAGUUACUCUAGGAUAACAGGCUGAUCUCCCCCAAGAGUUCACAUCGACGGGGAGGUUUGGCACCUCGAUGUCGGCUCAUCGCAACCUGGGGCGGAAGUACGUCCCAAGGGUUGGGCUGUUCGCCCAUUAAAGCGGUACGUGAGCUGGGUUCAGAACGUCGUGAGACAGUUCGGUCCAUAUCCGGUGUAGGCGCAAGAACAUUGAGAGGAGUCUUCCUUAGUACGAGAGGACCGGGAAGAACGCACCGCUGGUGUACCUGUUAUCGUGCCAACGGUAAACGCAGGGUAGCCAAGUGCGGAGUGGAUAACCGCUGUAAGCAUCUAAGUGGGAAGCCCACCUCAAGAUGAGUGUUCUCAUGGAGUAAUCCAGUAAGGUCACGGGAAGACGACCCGUUGAUAGGCGGUAGGUGGAAGUUCAGCAAUGGAUGAAGCCGAGCCGUACUAACAGACCGAGGGCUUGAUC
rnacentral:rRNA from 1 species